rnacentral:rRNA from 1 species
CCUACGGGAGGCAGCAGUGGGGAAUAUUGGACAAUGGGCGCAAGCCUGAUCCAGCAAUGCCGCGUGAGUGAUGAAGGCCUUAGGGUCGUAAAGCUCUUUUACCAGGGAUGAUAAUGACAGUACCUGGAGAAUAAGCUCCGGCUAACUCCGUGCCAGCAGCCGCGGUAAUACGGAGGGAGCUAGCGUUGUUCGGAAUUACUGGGCGUAAAGCGUACGUAGGCGGUUAUUCAAGUCAGAGGUGAAAGCCCGGGGCUCAACCCCGGAACGGCCUUUGAAACUAGGUAGCUAGAAUCUUGGAGAGGUCAGUGGAAUUCCGAGUGUAGAGGUGAAAUUCGUAGAUAUUCGGAAGAACACCAGUGGCGAAGGCGACUGACUGGACAAGUAUUGACGCUGAGGUACGAAAGCGUGGGGAGCAAACAGGAUUAGAUACCCUGGUAGUCCACGCCGUAAACGAUGAUAACUAGCUGUUCGGGCACUUGGUGCUUGAGUGGCGCAGCUACGCAUUAAGUUAUCCGUCCGUCGGGUAGGUACGGUCGCGAAGAAGUUAAAACUUAAAAGGUAAAGUUAGUACGGCGUGAGACGUGCCGAACGGACGACGACGAAGGGGAGGUAGG